rnacentral:rRNA from 1 species
UACGGGGGGGGCAAGCGUUGUUCGGAAUUACUGGGCGUAAAGGGCUCGUAGGCGGCCAACUAAGUCGGACGUGAAAUCCCCAGGCUCAACCUGGGAACUGCGUCCGAUACUGGAUGGCUUGAAUCCGGAAGAGGAGAGUGGAAUUCCUGGUGUAGCGGUGAAAUGCGCAGAUAUCAGGAAGAACACCUAUGGCGAAAGCAGCUCUCUGGGACGGUACUGACGCUGAGACGCGAAAGCGUGGGGAGCGAACAGG